GUGUCAGCAGCCGCGGUAAGACGUAGGAUGCGAGCGUUGUCCGGAUUCAUUGGGCGUAAAGAGUUCGUAGGUGGUUUGUUAAGUCUGAUGUUAAAGAUCGGGGCUCAACCCUGAGACUGCAUUGGAUACUGGCAGACUUGAGUAUGGUAGAGGCUAGUGGAAUUCCCAGUGUAGCGGUGAAAUGCGUAGAUAUUGGGAAGAACACCGGUGGCGUAGGCGACUAGCUGGGCCAUAACUGACGCUGAGGAACGAAAGCCAGGGUAGCGAAUGGGAUUAGAUACCCCAGUAGUCC
rnacentral:rRNA from 1 species